rnacentral:rRNA from 1 species
AACGAACGCUGGCGGCAGGCUUAACACAUGCAAGUCGAACGCAUCGCAAGAUGAGUGGCAGACGGGUGAGUAACGCGUGGGAACAUACCCUUUUCUACGGAAUAGCUCUGGGAAACUGGAAUUAAUACCGUAUACGCCCUACGGGGGAAAGAUUUAUCGGGGAAGGAUUGGCCCGCGUUGGAUUAGCUAGUUGGUGGGGUAAAGGCCGACCAAGGCGACGAUCCAUAGCUGGUCCGAGAGGAUGAUCAGCCACAUUGGGACUGAGACACGGCCCAAACUCCUACGGGAGGCAGCAGUGGGGAAUAUUGGACAAUGGGCGCAAGCCUGAUCCAGCCAUGCCGCGUGAGUGAUGAAGGUCUUAGGAUUGUAAAAUUCUUUUACCAGGGACGACAAUGACGGUACCUGGAGAAAAAGCCCCGGCUAACUUCGUGCCAGCCGCCGCAGUAAAAC